rnacentral:lncRNA from 1 species
AUCCUCACCCUUUUCUCUGCUAGAGAUCAGAGGCCUUGCAGGAAGCCUUGAGUGUCUUUCCUUGCUCAGUUUCCCAAUCUCUGCCCCUGCCUAGAAAUGGGCACUCCUUUUCCCUGAAAUGCCUUACUGGGCAGGGACCCUAACAAAAA